rnacentral:rRNA from 1 species
GACGAACGCUGGCGGCGUGCUUAACACAUGCAAGUCGAACGAUGAAACCUAGCUUGCUAGGUCGAUUAGUGGCGAACGGGUGAGUAACACGUGACUAACCUGCCCCUUUCUCUGGGAUAACGCUCCGAAAGGAGUGCUAAUACCGGAUACUCACACCGAGGCACAUGCCUUGGUGUGGAAAGUUUUUCGGAAAGGGAUGGAGUCGCGGCCUAUCAGCUUGUUGGUGAGGUAACGGCUCACCAAGGCGACGACGGGUAGCCGGCCUGAGAGGGGGACCGGCCCCACUGGGACUGAGACACGGCCCAGACUCCUACGGGAGGCAGCAGUGGGGAAUAUUGCACAAUGGGCGCAAGCCUGAUGCAGCGACGCCGCGUGAGGGAUGAAGGUCUUCGGAUUGUAAACCUCUUUCAGUAGGGACGAAGCGAAAGUGACGGUAGGUGCAGAAGAAGGACCGGCCAACUACGUGCCAGCCGCCGCGGUAA